UGAGGAAUAUUGGUCAAUGGGCGCGAGCCUGAACCAGCCAAGUAGCGUGAAGGAUGAAGGUCCUACGGAUUGUAAACUUCUUUUAUAAGGGAAUAAAGUCACCCACGUGUGGGUGUUUGUAUGUACCUUAUGAAUAAGCAUCGGCUAACUCCGUGCCAGCAGCCGCGGUAAUACGGAGGAUGCGAGCGUUAUCCGGAUUUAUUGGGUUUAAAGGGAGCGUAGACGGGUCGUUAAGUCAGCUGUGAAAGUUUGGGGCUCAACCUUAAAAUUGCAGUUGAUACUGGCGUCCUUGAGUACGGUUGAGGCAGGCGGAAUUCGUGGUGUAGCGGUGAAAUGCUUAGAUAUCACGAAGAACCCCGAUUGCGAAGGCAGCCUGCUAAACCGCCACUGACGUUGAGGCUCGAAAGUGUGGGUAUCAAACAGGAUUAGAUACCCUGGUAGUCCACACGGUAAACGAUGGAUACUCGCUGUUGGCGAUAGACUGUCAGCGGCUUAGCGAAAGCGUUAAGUAUCCCACCUGGGGAGUACGCCGGCAACGGUGAAACUCAAAGGAAUUGACGGGGGCCCGCACAAGCGGAGGAACAUGUGGUUUAAUUCGAUGAUACGCGAGGAACCUUACCCGGGCUUGAAAUGCAGACGAAUUGCUUGGAAACAGGCAAGCCGCAAGGCGUCUGUGAAGGUGCUGCAUGGUUGUCGUCAGCUCGUGCCGUGAGGUGUCGGCUUAAGUGCCAUAACGAGCGCAACCCUCGUGUCCAGUUACUAGCAGGUUAUGCUGAGGACUCUGGACAGACUGCCAUCGUAAGAUGUGAGGAAGGUGGGGAUGACGUCAAAUCAGCACGGCCCUUACGUCCGGGGCUACACACGUGUUACAAUGGGGGGUACAGCAGGCAGCUACCGGGCGACCGGAUGCCAAUCCCGAAAGCCUCUCUCAGUUCGGACUGGAGUCUGCAACCCGACUCCACGAAGCUGGAUUCGCUAGUAAUCGCGCAUCAGCCACGGCGCGGUGAAUACGUUCCC
rnacentral:rRNA from 1 species